AAUGGGCGAAAGCCUGACGCAGCAACGCCGCGUGCGGGAUGAAGGCCUUCGGGUUGUAAACCGCUUUCAGCAGGGAAGAAGCGAAAGUGACGGUACCUGCAGAAGAAGCACCGGCUAACUACGUGCCAGCAGCCGCGGUAAUACGUAGGGUGCAAGCGUUGUCCGGAUUUAUUGGGCGUAAAGAGCUCGUAGGCGGUUAGUCGCGUCGGAUGUGAAAUCCCAGUGCUUAACACUGGGCCUGCAUUCGAUACGGGCUGACUAGAGUGUUGUAGGGGAGACUGGAACUCCUGGUGUAGCGGUGAAAUGCGCUGAUAUCAGGAAGAACACCGGUGGCGAAGGCGGGUCUCUGGGCAACUACUGACGCUGAGGAGCGAAAGCGUGGGGAGCAAACAGGAUU
rnacentral:rRNA from 1 species